rnacentral:rRNA from 1 species
AUUGAACGCUGGCGGCAGGCCUAACACAUGCAAGUCGAGCGGAUGAAGGGAGCUUGCUCCUGGAUUCAGCGGCGGACGGGUGAGUAAUGCCUAGGAAUCUGCCUGGUAGUGGGGGAUAACGUCCGGAAACGGGCGCUAAUACCGCAUACGUCCUGAGGGAGAAAGUGGGGGAUCUUCGGACCUCACGCUAUCAGAUGAGCCUAGGCCGGAUUAGCUAGUUGGUGGGGUAAAGGCCUACCAAGGCGACGAUCCGUAACUGGUCUGAGAGGAUGAUCAGUCACACUGGAACUGAGACACGGUCCAGACUCCUACGGGAGGCCGCGGUGGGGAAUAUUGGACAAAGGGCGAAAGCCUGAUCCAGCCAUGCCGCGUGUGUGAAGAAGGUCUUCGGAUUGUAAAGCACUUUAAGUUGGGAGGAAGGGCAGUAAGUUAAUACCUUGCUGUUUUGACGUUACCAACAGAAUAAGCACCGGCUAACUUCGUG